UAUUCCAACCUUUGUGCUCACCCUACUCUCUCUUUCCUUCUGUGUUCAGACAGGAGUGAUCAGAGGGAUGAACAAGCCACAGCCUCCUGGGCAGAAUUAACCCCUUUGGUGUCAUGGAAAUUAUCUUCCACAAAGGAGGAAACAUGUUACAUCAUAAAGUAGAAUGGCACCAUCCCAGAUCUGCAACCCAACACUUCAGCCAAGUACCAAACAGUUGCAGGUUAUACGCAGACAUCAAGGAAUACUCAAAAAACAAGACUCUCCAUCUGUUGUGCAUCCUGCAAGUCAUGCCCAGGGAUCUAGGGUUCUAGUUUUCAUGAGUUGUCAUCUACUCCGGGGUGAGCUUCCAGGGAUGCAGCUGUCUUCCAUGUUCCUGUAAGUCACAUAUUGUAGGAUAUUAUUUUAACUAGGCAAAGAUAUGUUGUUACCUUUGUUUAUGCUGCAUUUAUUUAAUUAUGUAAAGAUUUGUUGCAUUUGCUUCGCCUUGCCUAACUAAGGCAACUGAUUGGUCUAAUAAUUAGCUGAACAGCCAAAGCUAGGCAGUGAAAGAUUACACAGGGUUGGUGGGCAGAAGACAAUAAAUAGGAGGAAGAAUCUAGGUUCGAGAGAAGAAUGAGAAAAGAGAAUGGCAGAGAAAGAGAGGGACAGGCUUGGGGUUAGAAACCAGGCCACCAGCCAGCCAGAAAGGAGAAACAAUGAAAGUAAGAUAUACAGAAGAGAAAGGUAAAAAGUCCUGAGGCAAAACAGAGAUGAAGAGAAACACAUUAAAAUAAGAGCUAAGAUAAGGCCGAGCAUUCAUAACUAAUAAGAAGUGUUGGGUCAUGAUUUGGGAGCCAAUUGUGGCCUAAAAGAAAGCCUGCUACAGUAACAUCUCAUCCAUACUCCAGUAGGAAACUCCGGUAAACAUAGUUUUGUCAAGGGACUUUGGCAGUUUGUUGUAGAUUCUCUCUCUGGGUGAGUAGACUUACAUUCAUGUCUUUUCAGGAAUAGUGGCAUCCAAAACACCCGGUGUUUGUUCUUGGUCCGUGUUCCAUCCCUUGCCACCAUCUGCUUGCCUCUGCAUCAGUGUCCCCUUGGGUUGCAUCCUCUGACCUACCUUACUCUCUGGCUUCUGUAUCAGUUUGGGCAAUGGGAGACAUUGGUUAAAACAAGAUGGAUUGAGAGGGAAGUCCAGGCAUUUGCUCCUCCUUCUCAGUCCCUGCUUUGACUGUGUGCUGGGUUGGCUUCUCAUAUGGCUUUUAUGUUCUCUGGUUUCUGAGCAUGGCUUGGACCUACUGACUCUCUUCUGACAAAUGGAAGAUAACAAGAAGGUUUAGUUUGCACAAUGCUGUGGAUUUGUGUUGUUUAAAUAACACAUUGGAUGUGUUAUUUUGCUUGGUUGGUUAAGGUGAGCUGCUAUGGUAUAAGUAGACACCUUGGCAAAGAACAGAGGAUAUCCGCAGACUGUUCCAGGAAGGCCAGGAGUAUUUCAGUUUAAGUCUUUGAGGGACUGACUCUGCAAACAAUCGCACGAUUAAAUUUGAGCAUGGAAUGUUCUCUACCCCAGUUCUCCUUUGACUGCAGCGUUGUCAGAGACUGUGAGUCAGAGGACAGCUAAGCUGCACCUGGGCUACUGAUCUUCAGAGACACCACCAUAAGAAAUAAUGUUUUAAGGUGGCGAAUUUUGGGAUAACUGUUUUGCAAAUAAAUUCAGUACAGCAUUAUAUGUCAAUGACUGUACUCUUUAUGGCUAUGACUGUGUCUGGUGACUUUAAGCCCACAGCCUUAGCUCUCAACUGGCUCAGGCGACACCAUUCACUCUCAUUGCUUUUCAGUAUUAGGGAUGAUAGUGGCUUUCUGCUGUUGCUAGUCCUUUGCAAAAAAAAAAAAUUGAUGACACUUUAAGAUUUCCUUCCAAGAAUGCUGCUGUCUGUUAGAACUCCAACAAGUAGAACCCUUACCAUCAGAUCAUUCUCUUACUAAUAUAUUUCAAUUGGCCAGAGACUCUGAAGGUCAGAUCCUUCAUACAUUCAGAACACAGACCUUAGAUCUGUGUUACCACUCUGUAUUUACCUCAUUUUUGCAGGAUUGCCCAAGUUCUGCUGUAC
rnacentral:lncRNA from 1 species